GCCUUAGUAACGGCGAGUGAAGCGGCAAAAGCUCAAAUUUGAAAUCUGGUACCUUCGGUGCCCGAGUUGUAAUUUGGAGAGGGCAACUUUGGGGCCGUUCCUUGUCUAUGUUCCUUGGAACAGGACGUCAUAGAGGGUGAGAAUCCCGUGUGGCGAGGAGUGCGGUUCUUUGUAAAGUGCCUUCGAAGAGUCGAGUUGUUUGGGAAUGCAGCUCUAAGUGGGUGGUAAAUUCCAUCUAAAGCUAAAUAUUGGCGAGAGACCGAUAGCGAACAAGUACAGUGAUGGAAAGAUGAAAAGAACUUUGAAAAGAGAGUGAAAAAGUACGUGAAAUUGUUGAAAGGGAAGGGCAUUUGAUCAGACAUGGUGUUUUGUGCCCUCUGCUCCUUGUGGGUAGGGGAAUCUCGCAUUUCACUGGGCCAGCAUCAGUUUUGGUGGCAGGAUAAAUCCAUAGGAAUGUAGCUUGCCUCGGUAAGUAUUAUAGCCUGUGGGAAUACUGCCAGCUGGGACUGAGGACUGCGACGUAAGUCAAGGAUGCUGGCAUAAUGGUUAUAUGCCGCCCGUCUUGAAACACGGACCUCCU
rnacentral:rRNA from 1 species